UUUGUUUACCCCAUGAUUAGUGCUGCCACAGAAUUGCAGAUGACAAACCCACCGCCACACUCCCGCCAGCCACCGCCUGCCAUCGCCAGAGUAUCUUUCUGGCCACGACGGCGGAGACAGGGCUGGUCAUUCGGGGUCACAGCAGGGUCACAGCAGGGUCACAGGGGCACGUUGGGACAAGCUACACCCGCAGAAGGUCAGGACGGAUAAAUAUUGCAGUUAAGUGUGGUAGAAAAGUGAUUUAAUGUUGUUGUUUUUUUCCUGGAGUGAAAUCGGGGUUAGAAAAGGAGUCGAGUACUGCAGGUGUGUGUUUUGACUCUCCUGUAACCUUCUGGUGUGUGUCAACCGGUACUCUAGAGGUUCGAAUCCUGUUGAUUACUAUUACUGAUUCCACCGACGCAGGAAGGAGGAGGAGGUGGAGGAGGAGAAGGAGGAGGAGGAGGAUACAAGACACAGUGAGGAGAGUGAAGGGAGUGACGAGAACGAGAAGAGACAGUGAGGAGGAGGAGGAGGAGGAGGUGAAGGUCUGGACGGAGAAGUGAAGGAGAAGGAGGGAGGGGUCCGCGGGGAUGGGGAGGGAGGAAGGGAAGAGGGAGGAGGGCGUGAUGACCCCGGAAUGUAAAUGAUGACGUCCCCUGGAAUAUCGAAGACAGAGGGUCGUGAAGGUGCAUAUUCAAUGGACGCGGCGGUGAAUAUGGAACGGAGGGCGUCGCGUAUACUGUGUGGAGGCGACCGCGGCCAGUCUCCUCCCGGGGCCUGCUCAGGUCGCCGCGCCCUCCCGUAGGCGGCGGCGGCGGCGGCGGCGGCGAAGGAGACAGCCGCUGGAAAUCCUCGCCGUGAAGGUCUCCGCUAACCGCCCCACCACGCACUGCCGCUAGAGUCUCCGCUGCGCCGCCGUCUGUGAUGCCGCCGCCGCUGCCGCCGUCAUCCCUGCCGCCACGCCACGCAACACAAAGCUACUCGGAUCCGGACUAACCGUACUUGUGCCACGCCUGUUCGGAUCCGGAGCUGCAGUGCCCGAAAUAAACAAAAGUUGGCAAAAAUAUAUCUCUAGUCACCACAAUCACCAUCUUCGCCGCCGCCGCCGCCACAGCCGCCGCCAAAUUGUGAACGCCGUGCCAUUCUUCAGUGCAACAUGUGCAUGGGUGUGCGUGUGCGUGUGUGCGUACCGCGUGUGUCCUGUGUACCGUAGUGUGUCGCGUGGGGCGCCUGUGUGUGUCAGGUGAGGCGCGGUGCAGAUGGCAGUGAAGGGCGCCACACAAACACUACGACAAGACGGCGCCCCUUCUCCCCCCUCCGCCCCCAACCCCCUGCCCCUCCACCAGUCCUCUACAGUCCGUACCCCAGCACACACACACACACACACACACGCACACACAAAGCGGUGGUGUUAUGAACAUCUACGAGGCUUCACUGUUUCAAAAGCAAGAAUGAUGCAUCGACAAUAGGCUUCACUGGACUGAAUGUGAAGCGCCAACCGAACCACAGGACGGAACAGUGAAGCAGUGAAUGAAGCAAACAGUGAUCCGGUGAUCGAAAAUGACUCUGAUAAUGAAAAGAUGAAAAAGGAAAUGGAAAAAAUUAUACGUAUAAAUUUAGCGAGGCAACCGAGUGAAGCAAUGAACGAAGCAGUGAAGCAGUGAAUGAACCAGUGAUCGAAUACGAAUGACAGCGAAAAUGCAGGAAAAUUAUGAAAAAGUUUUAUGUUGAAAAUAGAAGUUCAUUAUAUUUUGUCAACUUCAUUUUGGGAUUUUGUUGCGUAUGUUAGUGAAGCAGUAUGUGAAACAGUGAAGCAGUUACGUGAAUCAGUGAAGCAGUUCGUGAAACAGCUACGUUAAACAGUGAAGCAAAUACGUGAAGCAGUGAAGCAGCUUCGUGAAUUAGUGAAGUAGUUACAUGAAGCAGUAGGCAAAACAGAGCAGCAGUUACGUGAAGCAGUGAAGCAGUUACGUGAAACAGUGAAGCAGUUACGUGAAACAGUGAAGCAGUUACGUGAAGUGAAGCGAAUUGAAUUGAGAGAUUAAGGAAAAUUAGAAUUAUCAGAGGCGUAAAAUAAAAAAUGUGAUCGAUUCCAUUGACAAGAAAUAUAUAGAUGAAACUAACAAUAAGAAAUAGUAAUGACGAUAACGCAGUGAAUUAAUGUUGUCCCUUGCCACUUUAAAAAUGAAAUAGUGAAUGACGAUGAAUGACAGAUAGGUAAAUAAAAAGAUUGAUUUCCUAAGUUUGAAAAGCGAGAAGGGAAAAAAAAAAAUAGUGGAGUGAUUUUGUCCCAUCAAUUUAACAAUCAUCAAACAACGAAACUCAACUUCAAGCCAAUGAAACGACCACUUAAAAAAAAAAAAAAAAAAAAAACCAGCAGAUAGUGAAUGACGAUGAAUGACAAAACAGUGAAUGAAAGACUGACUUGAAGAAAAAAAAAGCAGUGAAUUAAUAUUGUCCCUUGUCACUUUAAAAAUCAAAUGGUGAAUAACGAUGAAUUUUAUAGGCGAAUAAAAAGAUUAAUUUUCUAAGUUUAAAAGGCGAGAAGGGAAAAAAAUACAACGAAACUCAACUUGAAAACAAUGAAACUACCACUUGAAAAAAAAAAAAAAAAAAAAAAAAUAGUGAAGUGAAGUGAAUAAGGUGAAUAAAAAAAAUGAUUUCCAAAGUUUAAACCGCGAGAAAAAAAAUUAAUGGAUUGAUUUUGCUUAUCAGUUCAACAAUCAUGAAAUAGUGAAUGACGGUGAAUGACAGAACAGUGAAUAAAAGACUGAUUUUUCUAAGUUUAAAUUAAAGGCGAGAAGGAAAAAUUACAACGAAACAACUUUGAACAAUGAAACUACGCUUUAAAACUCAGCAAAUAGUGAAAGACGAUGAACAACAAAUGAAUGAAUUAAAAAAACUGAUUUCAAAAGUUUAAAAAUGCGAAAGAAAAAAAAAAAAAAAAGUGGAUUAAUUUUGCUGCUCAUCACUUUAACAAUCAUCAAACAGUGAAUGACGAUGAAUAACAAACAGGCGAAUGGAAGACUGAUUUCAAGUUUAAAACACGAAGGGAAAAAAAUACAACGAAACUGAACUUGGAACAACGAAACUACUUAAAAAAAAUAAUCAGCAAAUAAAUACAAUGAAGAACAGAUAAGAUAAAAAAAAAGACUGAUUUCUAAGUUUAAAAGGCAAGAAGAAGAAAAUAAAAAGUAGAUUAAAUGUGUCCCUUAUCACUUCAACAAUCAGUAAAUAAAUGAAUAAAAGACUCAUUUCCGAAAUUUUAAAUGCGAAUAGAAAAAAAAAAAGAAAAACACAACUAAACAAAGACAAAUUACAGGUAACAAUUAUAUAAAGGUAAGCUGUGGGACCUUUCAAUACAGGUGUGCGUCGCUUUUAAGGCCAGAAUAUGUAUAAAAAAAUAUUAAAAAAAAUCAUGUCAUUAAAAUUUUUCCUCGAUUACGGACUGAAUCAUGAAAAUCUGAAGAAAUAUUGAUAAAAAAAAACAAGUGUAUAUUUAUUGAUUGUCUUUUCUUUAUCUGUCCUAAAAUCACAAGGGAAAAAACAAAGUAUAUUUUUUGACUAUCUUUUCUUAAUUGUCCUAAAGUCGCAAGUAAAAUGAAAAAAUAAAAAGUAUAUUCAUC